rnacentral:SRP_RNA from 1 species
AAGGCUUGCCUCCCAGACAGCGGCCACCCGCACCUGCAGCGGAUGGAUCACAAUCUGACUCAUCAGUCC